GUGGAUUAGAUACCCGAGUAGUCCACACCGUAAACGAUGAUUACUAGAUUUUGGCCUUAUGGUCAGAGUCCAAGCGAAAGUGUUAAGUAAUCCACCUGGGGAGUACGUCCGCAAGGAUGAAACUCAAAGGAAUUGACGGGGGCCCGCACAAGCGGUGGAGCAUGUGGUUUAAUUCGAUGAUACGCGAGGAACCUUACCUGGGCUUGAAAGUUAGUGACCGCUCCUGAAAGGGAGCUUUCCGCAAGGACACGAAACUAGGUGCUGCACGGCCGUCGCCAACU
rnacentral:rRNA from 1 species